rnacentral:rRNA from 1 species
CAGCCGCCGCGGUAAUACGUAGGUGGCAAGCGUUGUCCGGAAUUAUUGGGCGUAAAGGGAGCGCAGGCGGUUUAGUAAGUCUGAAGUUAAAGGCAUUGGCUCAACCAAUGUAUGCUUUGGAAACUGUUAGACUUGAGUGCAGAAGGGGAGAGUGGAAUUCCAUGUGUAGCGGUGAAAUGCGUAGAUAUAUGGAGGAACACCGGUGGCGAAAGCGGCUCUCUGGUCUGUCACUGACGCUGAGGCUCGAAAGCGUGGGUAGCGAACAGGAUUAGAUACCCCCGUAGUCCCUGUCUCUUAUACA